GGUGGCUCAGUGGUAGAGCACUUGCCUUGCAAGCAUGAGGCCUUGGGUUCGAUUCCUCAGCACCA
rnacentral:tRNA from 1 species